UUAAGCGACUAAGCGUACACGGUGGAUGCCCUGGCAGUCAGAGGCGAUGAAGGACGUGCUAAUCUGCGAAAAGCGUCGGUAAGGUGAUAUGAACCGUUACAGCCGGCGAUGUCCGAAUGGGGAAACCCAGUGCAAUUCGUUGCACUAUCGUUAACUGAAUACAUAGGUUAACGAGGCGAACCGGGGGAACUGAAACAUCUAAGUACCCCGAGGAAAAGAAAUCAACCGAGAUUCCCCCAGUAGCGGCGAGCGAACGGGGAGCAGCCCAGAGUCUGAAUCAGCUUGUGUGUUAGUGGAACGGUCUGGAAAGUCCGACGGUACAGGGUGAUAGUCCCGUACACCAAAAUGCACAGGCUGUGAACUCGAAGAGUAGGGCGGGACACGUGGUAUCCUGUCUGAAUAUGGGGGGACCAUCCUCCAAGGCUAAAUACUCCUGACUGACCGAUAGUGAACCAGUACCGUGAGGGAAAGGCGAAAAGAACCCCGGCGAGGGGAGUGAAAAAGAACCUGAAACCGUGUACGUACAAGCAGUGGGAGCACCUUCGGGUGUGACUGCGUACCUUUUGUAUAAUGGGUCAGCGACUUAUAUUCUGUAGCAAGGUUAACCGUAUAGGGGAGCCGCAGGGAAACCGAGUCUUAACUGGGCGUUAAGUUGCAGGGUAUAGACCCGAAACCCGGUGAUCUAGCCAUGGGCAGGUUGAAGGUUGGGUAACACUAACUGGAGGACCGAACCGACUAAUGUUGAAAAAUUAGCGGAUGACUUGUGGCUGGGGGUGAAAGGCCAAUCAAACCGGGAGAUAGCUGGUUCUCCCCGAAAGCUAUUUAGGUAGCGCCUCGUGAACUCAUCUUCGGGGGUAGAGCACUGUUUCGGCUAGGGGGUCAUCCCGACUUACCAACCCGAUGCAAACUACGAAUACCGAAGAAUGUUAUCACGGGAGACACACGGCGGGUGCUAACGUCCGUCGUGAAGAGGGAAACAACCCAGACCGCCAGCUAAGGUCCCAAAGUCAUGGUUAAGUGGGAAACGAUGUGGGAAGGCACAGACAGCCAGGAUGUUGGCUUAGAAGCAGCCAUCAUUUAAAGAAAGCGUAAUAGCUCACUGGUCGAGUCGGCCUGCGCGGAAGAUGUAACGGGGCUAAACCAUGCACCGAAGCUGCGGCAGCGACACUAUGUGUUGUUGGGUAGGGGAGCGUUCUGUAAGCCUGCGAAGGUGUGCUGUGAGGCAUGCUGGAGGUAUCAGAAGUGCGAAUGCUGACAUAAGUAACGAUAAAGCGGGUGAAAAGCCCGCUCGCCGGAAGACCAAGGGUUCCUGUCCAACGUUAAUCGGGGCAGGGUGAGUCGACCCCUAAGGCGAGGCCGAAAGGCGUAGUCGAUGGGAAACAGGUUAAUAUUCCUGUACUUGGUGUUACUGCGAAGGGGGGACGGAGAAGGCUAUGUUAGCCGGGCGACGGUUGUCCCGGUUUAAGCAUGUAGGCUGAUUGUCCAGGCAAAUCCGGAUAAUCAAGGCUGAGGUGUGAUGACGAGGCACUACGGUGCUGAAGUAACAAAUGCCCUGCUUCCAGGAAAAGCCUCUAAGCAUCAGGUAACAUCAAAUCGUACCCCAAACCGACACAGGUGGUCAGGUAGAGAAUACCAAGGCGCUUGAGAGAACUCGGGUGAAGGAACUAGGCAAAAUGGUGCCGUAACUUCGGGAGAAGGCACGCUGGUGUGUAGGUGAAGUCCCUGCGGAUGGAGCUGAGACCAGUCGAAGAUACCAGCUGGCUGCAACUGUUUAUUAAAAACACAGCACUGUGCAAACACGAAAGUGGACGUAUACGGUGUGACGCCUGCCCGGUGCCGGAAGGUUAAUUGAUGGGGUUAUCCGUAAGGAGAAGCUCUUGAUCGAAGCCCCGGUAAACGGCGGCCGUAACUAUAACGGUCCUAAGGUAGCGAAAUUCCUUGUCGGGUAAGUUCCGACCUGCACGAAUGGCGUAAUGAUGGCCAGGCUGUCUCCACCCGAGACUCAGUGAAAUUGAACUCGCUGUGAAGAUGCAGUGUACCCGCGGCAAGACGGAAAGACCCCGUGAACCUUUACUAUAGCUUGACACUGAACAUUGAGCCUUGAUGUGUAGGAUAGGUGGGAGGCUUUGAAGCGUGGACGCCAGUCUGCGUGGAGCCAACCUUGAAAUACCACCCUUUAAUGUUUGAUGUUCUAACGUUGGCCCCUUACCGGGGUUGCGGACAGUGUCUGGUGGGUAGUUUGACUGGGGCGGUCUCCUCCCAAAGCGUAACGGAGGAGCACGAAGGUUAGCUAAUCCUGGUCGGACAUCAGGAGGUUAGUGCAAUGGCAUAAGCUAGCUUGACUGCGAGCGUGACGGCGCGAGCAGGUGCGAAAGCAGGUCAUAGUGAUCCGGUGGUUCUGAAUGGAAGGGCCAUCGCUCAACGGAUAAAAGGUACUCCGGGGAUAACAGGCUGAUACCGCCCAAGAGUUCAUAUCGACGGCGGUGUUUGGCACCUCGAUGUCGGCUCAUCACAUCCUGGGGCUGAAGUAGGUCCCAAGGGUAUGGCUGUUCGCCAUUUAAAGUGGUACGCGAGCUGGGUUUAGAACGUCGUGAGACAGUUCGGUCCCUAUCUGCCGUGGGCGCUGGAGAAUUGAGGGGGGCUGCUCCUAGUACGAGAGGACCGGAGUGGACGCAUCACUGGUGUUCGGGUUGUCAUGCCAAUGGCACUGCCCGGUAGCUAAAUGCGGAAGAGAUAAGUGCUGAAAGCAUCUAAGCACGAAACUUGCCCCGAGAUGAGUUCUCCCUGAGACUUUAAGUCUCCUGAAGGAACGUUGAAGACGACGACGUUGAUAGGCCGGGUGUGUAAGCGCAGCGAUGCGUUGAGCUAACCGGUACUAAUGAACCGUGAGGCUUAACCUU
rnacentral:rRNA from 1 species